rnacentral:lncRNA from 1 species
UUAUAUACACAAAUUAACAGUUAAUUAUUUUAACUAAUUCUAAAACUUCUGGACUCGUGGGCUGGACUUCUAUUUGAUCCGAGUCCUGGUCUAACUUGUUAAUUGUGUAUUUUAAAUGAAUCUGCAAAAAUACCCAAGAGUUAUUAGUAUUCACACAUAGGUAUUUUAUUUUGAUUUGUGAUUUAUAUAAAAGUCCUUAGAUUAAUAUAAAACUAAAAUAUUAAAACAAUUGGAACUUUUAUACUUAAGACCUCUGUAAAAACAUUACAGAAGUAUUUUAGAACCUUUUAUUAUUUGUAUUGUACUUUAGGUCCAACUAACGAAUUAAUUGGAACUUUUGUAUUUUAAGUCCCUGUUGGUUAAUACAAAACAGUUUAUUCUGUUUUGUAGAAACCUUAGGACUUUUUAUAUUAGACUUAGGUCCUAACUUAGUUUCUUAGGGUAAACUUUUAUUUUACCCUAGAUUUCAGCUGUAUUUCUUAUACAUACGAACCUAACCGAAUUGUGUCACUCGUCUGAUCUCAUUUCCUGCAAUGUUAAUAGUAUCACACGUCUGAUCCCAAAUUGAAUCUCACCAUUGUAAAUAACAAAAUCUCACACAUAAAUUGCAAAUCGUUCCCAAAUAACAAAAUCUCAGAAUAGCAAAUAACAAAAUCUCACACAUAAGUAGCCAACGUUCGCAAAAUCUCACCAUUGCAAAUCGUUUCCAAAUAACAAAAUCGCAGAAUAGCAAAAAACAAAAUCUCAUACAUAAAUAGCCAAUCGUUCACAAGAUAACAGGAAAGGGAUAGAAAGUUAAAAAAUACCUGACGAUGGAAGAAGAAGAAAAACAUACCAGGACGACGACAAGUAGGCGAGACCGACGAAGACGAAGACACCGAAAAUGAAGACAAAGAUGGAGAUGAACCAAGACGAAUAGGAAGAUGAACUAAGACGAAUACGAACAUAACUACGAAAAGGCGAUAUCAUCGGGGACAAAUUUCAAAGCGCAGAAUGCAAAAACAACGACGAACAGAGAACGAAGAAUCCAGUCACCGACGAACGGAGACGAAGAUAGAAAUAAAUAUACGGAAAAUGGAAAAAUUGGAAAAUAAAUACUGACAGUAAUACAUCUACAUCUACUACUGACACUACAUCUGAUCACCUACAAAAAUACCUAUGGAAUUACUAAACUAAUAACGAAAUUAAACUAAAAUCAAAAAUUUCAAAACUAUCGGUUGAUCCAAUGUACGGACCAUGAUCAAUGUGCACACCCCUGAUUGGCUGUGAUAAAAUAUUAUAUUGUAAUUUUUUAUUUAACCCUUUUAAAACAUUAAUAUAAUAUAAAAGUAUAUUUUGAACCGAGCUCUAUAAUCUAUAUUAUUAUAAAAUUCCUUAUAAUUGUACGACAUGCUUCAAUCUAUAAAUGAGAGAUUAAUUUUAUAAAUUUGAUAGGUUUGCAUAAAAUAAAAGUAUAAAAUCGUUGAUUGAUAAUUGAUAUGAAUCAAUUAUUAAAAAAUGAGUUAUUUUUCCUCUUUAGUUACCACAUUAUAUAUCGAGUUGAUCCUUUAAUUUAGUUAUUCAGUGUGUGUGUGUGUGUUUUGGAAUAAGUGACAGCAAUAUCUCCCAUAUGGAUUGCUCUAAGUAUGAUUUUCAUUUCUUUUUCGAAGGGGCUUUUCCCAUUUUCGUAGGCUUGGCUGCACCUUACAGUUUCAAUUUUGGCUUUCUUCAUUGCUUCAUCCAUCAACUCAAUCUUGCCGGUUUCAACCAAUGGGAAAGCGUCACUUACAAUUUGCACGAUGCUCGACAAAUGUUCCAAACAUAUUUCCAAAGGUUCGAUUUCUUCGGGCUUUAUUUUCUUAUCAGCCAGAAUUUCGUCAGACGACGAGAUGGUGUCUUCGGCUGCAAUGUAAGCUUCCCGGAGUGUUUGGUUCAUCAGGCAAUUCGUGUUCGUGCAUUGAUUGGAAAUACUAACAAGGAAAGUUUUACACAAACUUUCAUCUUCUUUAUUAGAACAUGAUUCACAUACUUCCUUGAAAAAUGGGUUCAACUCUUUGGAGGAGGAGACAUGGUCGACGAACAAGAGAGAUGUGAGGAGGAAGAGGAAGAGAAACCACGACGACGGCAACGAGGCGGAGUCCAUUAUUUUGAUAAGAAUCUUUCAAUGUUUUUCGGAUAUGGAGCUAGCGAAAAGAUAGAAGGUGGUAGGUAAGUAGUAUUGGAUUGGUUUUUAUACAAAGAUCA